AUACGGAGGGUGCAAGCGUUACUCGGAAUCACUGGGCGUAAAGCGCGCGCAGGCGGCCAUUUAAGUUGGAUGUGAAAGCCUACGGCUCAACCGUAGAACUGCAUCCAAAACUAUUUGGCUAGAGUGUGGGAGAGGAAGAUGGAAUUAGUUGUGUAGGGGUAAAAUCCGUAGAGAUAACUAGGAAUACCAAAAGCGAAGGCAAUCUUCUGGAACAUUACUGACGCUGAGGCGCGAAAGCGUGGGGAGCAAACAGGAAUAGAAACCCUAGUAGUCC
rnacentral:rRNA from 1 species